AGAGGGAGUUGAGAUCCAUCUACAGUGAGCAACUCGAGGUACUCUGUGAAGAAAGCCUGGCAUGGGAAUAAGCCACAUCCAACUUCCUCAGCAAAUUAAAGAAGGAUGUAUGUCAAAAUGUCAUACUGUAGAGGGAUGGAUACAAACUCAGCCUAGUCAAAAACAGAAGUGUUAGUGUUUUAAAGAGAGCAACAAGUGUAUGCAGAUACACACUGCCUAGCAAAUAAAAAGAUAACACAGGGUGGUUGAAGGAAAAGAGAACCCAGAAGCAGGAGAUCGAGAACUAGCUCGAAAUAUCCAUCAAUCUUUGAGUGGCCUGUGACCUCUCUGCAGAGCUCAUAGCCGUUACCUAUAAAAAGAGUGACUUGGACAAGAGGUUCUCCGAAGUGUCUUCCAUCUCUAAAGUUCUGUGAUUUCAUUGGAAGUAACAGUGGCCCAAAUUCAGUGGCUGAAGUGAGAGGAAGCCUGACCUGCGCUUCCUCAAGUCGGGUAACCGCUCUGGACUGUAUGAACAAUCCAGCCAUGACAACCAUCCAACUGUGGGGACGAGUGACAUGGAGUUGGCAAAGGCUCCUUUUGAACCCUUUGAAGUAAACAUGCAGAUAUGAGCCAGCGGCAUACAUCCCAUCUGUCUUGGUGUGAGAGACCCCAGUUAUUCCAUCUCAAAAGUGGCUCAAGUCUACACUUUCACAUCUCAUCUGGCAAAGGACAAAAAUUGGUCAGAGGCAACCCAUUCGUUUUAGUCACUUAAGUUUUUAUUUGGCAGACAUUGUCCUUAAUUAUUAAUUCACUAUUUCAACCAACAAUCAUGAAUUAUUACUUGCUUCAAAUUGUCAGAAGUCAAAUAAAACCUCUCAGAAAUCGUUAUGUCUCCCUUCC
rnacentral:lncRNA from 1 species